AGUGAACGCUGGCGGUAGGCCUAACACAUGCAAGUCGAACGGCAGCACAGUAAGAGCUUGCUCUUACGGGUGGCGAGUGGCGGACGGGUGAGGAAUACAUCGGAAUCUACUUUUUCGUGGGGGAUAACGUAGGGAAACUUACGCUAAUACCGCAUACGACCUACGGGUGAAAGCAGGGGAUCUUCGGACCUUUCGCGAUUGAAUGAGCCGAUGUCGGAUUAGCUAGUUGGCGGGGUAAAGGCCCACCAAGGCGACGAUCCGUAGCUGGUCUGAGAGGAUGAUCAGCCACAGUGGAACUGAGACACGGUCCAGACUCCUACGGGAGGCAGCAGUGGGGAAUAUUGGACAAUGGGCGCAAGCCUGAUCCAGCCAUACCGCGUGGGUGAAGAAGGCCUUCGGGUUGUAAAGCCCUUUUGUUGGGAAAGAAAAGCAGCAGGUUAAUACCCCGCUGUUCUGACGGUACCCAAAGAAUAAGCACCGGCUAACUUCGUG
rnacentral:rRNA from 1 species